CCCUUAGAUGUUCUGGGCCGCACGCGCGCUACACUGUUCGACGCAGCGAGUCUUAACCUUGACCGAAAGGUUUGGGUAAUCUUCAGCAAAGUCGAACGUGAUGGGGAUCGAUCAUUGCAAUUAUUGAUCGUGAACGAGGAAUUCCUAGUAAGUGCAAGUCAUCAGCUUGCGCUGAUUACGUCCCUGCCCUUUGUACACACCGCCCGUCGCUACUACCGAUUGAAUGGUUUAGUGAGAUCUCUGGAUUGACGCUGGCUAGGGGGCGACCCUUGGCCAGACUGUUGAGAAACUGCUCAAACUUGAUCAUUUAGAGGGAGUAAAAGUCGUAACA
rnacentral:rRNA from 1 species